rnacentral:rRNA from 1 species
CGAGUGAAGCGGGAACAGCUCAAAUUUGAAAUCUGGCCCUUGGGUCCGAGUUGUAAUUUGCAGAGGAUGCUUUUGGUGCGGUGCCUUCCGAGUUCCCUGGAACGGGACGCCUUAGAGGGUGAGAGCCCCGUACGGUUGGCCACCAAGCCUGUGUAAAGCUCCUUCGACGAGUCGAGUAGUUUGGGAAUGCUGCUCAAAAUGGGAGGUAUAUUUCUUCUAAAGCUAAAUACUGGCCAGAGACCGAUAGCGCACAAGUAGAGUGAUCGAAAGAUGAAAAGCACUUUGAAAAGAGGGUUAAAUAGCACGUGAAAUUGUUGAAAGGGAAGGAUUUAUGACCAGACUUUUUCUGGGGGGAUCAUCCGGUGUUCUCACCGGUGCACUUCCCCCAGUUGAGGCCAGCAUCGGUUUCUGCCGGGGGAUAAAAGCUUUGGGAAUGUGGCUCCUUCGGGAGUGUUAUAGCCCGUUGCAUAAUACCCUGGCGGGGACCGAGGUUCGCGCAUUGCAAGGAUGCUGGCGUAAUGGUUAUUAAUCACCCGUCUUGAAACACGGACCAAGGAGUCGAACAUUUGUGCGAGUGUUUGGGUGUUAAACCCUCACGCGUAAUGAAAGUGAACGGAGGUGAGAGCCUUUAGGGGUGCAUCAUCGACCGAUCCUGAUGUCUUCGGAUGGAUUUGAGUAAGAGCAUAACUGUUCGGACCCGAAAGAUGGUGAACUAUGCGUGGAUAGGGUGAAGCCAGAGGAAACUCUGGUGGAGGCUCGCAGCGGUUCUGACGUGCAAAUCGAUCGUCAAAUCUGC